rnacentral:rRNA from 1 species
CGCGGCCUAUCAGCUUGUUGGUGGGGUGAUGGCCUACCAAGGCGACGACGGGUAGCCGGCCUGAGAGGGCGACCGGCCACACUGGGACUGAGACACGGCCCAGACUCCUACGGGAGGCAGCAGUGGGGAAUAUUGCACAAUGGGCGCAAGCCUGAUGCAGCGACGCCGCGUGGGGGAUGACGGCCUUCGGGUUGUAAACCUCUUUCGCCAAGGACGAAGCCUUUUGGGGUGACGGUACCUGGAGAAGAAGCACCGGCUAACUACGUGCCAGCAGCCGCGGUAAUACGUGGGGUGCGAGCGUUGUCCGGAAUUAUUGGGCGUAAAGAGCUCGUAGGCGGUUUGUCGCGUCGGCCGUGGAAACUGGAGGCUUAACCUUCAGCGUGCGGUCGAUACGGGCAGACUUGAGUUCGGUAGGGGAGUCUGGAAUUCCUGGUGUAGCGGUGAAAUGCGCAGAUAUCAGGAGGAACACCGGUGGCGAAGGCGGGACUCUGGGCCGAUACUGACGCUGAGGAGCGAAAGCGUGGGGAGCGAACAGGAUUAGAUACCCUGGUAGUCCACGCUGUAAACGUUGGGCGCUAGGUGUGGGUGACAUUCCACGUUGUCCGUGCCGUAGCUAACGCAUUAAGCGCCCCGCCUGGGGAGUACGG